rnacentral:rRNA from 1 species
AUGCAGGGAUUUAGGUACAAUGAGGAGAGCCACAACUAUGCUCCACAACAGAUUUAUUCAGCUCCUACUCAUAUCCCUCAACACCAGGAGAUGUUGCCAAUGGAGUUAAAUGGUCCUCCAUUUGGUCAACCAACAACUCCAGCAACCGCCGAGAAAUCUCAUGUGCAAGUGCCCACACAAGAUGAAUUUGAUGAUAUAGACAAGCUCACAUUGCUUAGUCUCAAGUUCACUUGGAGUGCCGAGGAUGAUCCUAUUAGGAAGGUAAUACUAGAGGAAAUGAAGAAGAUCAAGAGUGGAAAAGAGAUAGUGGAAGAAGUAAGGAAGAUUGAGAAGAACAUCAAUGCCGGCAGCACUAUUUCUUCACAGCUUGAGCUGAGUGUUUCUGGGAUUCCCCUUGAUACAUGUGAGGUUCCAACACCUUCAUAUCCAGCCAAGGAAGAUAGCAAGUGCCUUGAGGAAGAGAUAUCUCAGAUUGAAGAAGAUGAACUAGAAGACAAGGAACAAGAUGACCAAGAGCUUGAAUGCCCAAGUGAUCAAGAUGAAGAUCCGUUGCAUCUCACUCCUGGAGAAGUAAAAGAAGCUCCUAUAGUUGAAGAUGAAGAACCAGAAAUUCAUUUGCCCAUCAUCAUGCAAGAGCGUGAUAUAGCAGGUUCGAGGUGA